UACGGGGGGGGGCGAGCGUUGUUCGGAAUUACUGGGCGUAAAGGGUUUGUAGGUGGCCUGCUAAGUCAGACGUGAAAUCCCUCAGCUUAACUGGGGAACUGCGUCUGAUACUGGCGGGCUUGAGGACAGGAGAGGAACGCGGAAUUCCAGGUGUAGCGGUGAAAUGCGUAGAUAUCUGGAGGAACACCGGUGGCGAAGGCGGGUCUCUGGGCCGAAACUGACGCUGAGGAGCGAAAGCGUGGGGAGCAAACAGG
rnacentral:rRNA from 1 species